CCUACGGGAGGCAGCAGUGGGGGAUAUUGCACAAUGGGGGGAACCCUGAUGCAGCGACGCCGCGUGGGUGAAGGAGCGUUUCGGCGCGUAAAGCCCUAUCGGCAGGGAAGAAGGUGACGGUACCUGACCAAGAAGCCCCGGCUAACUACGGGCCAGCAGCCGCGGUGAUACGUCGGGGGCAAGCGUUCACCGGGUUUACUGGGUGUAAAGGGGGCGCAGACGGGAAUGCAAGCCAGGAGUGAAAGCCCUGGGCCCAACCCCGGGACUGCUGUUGGAACUGCAUGGCUGGAGUACGGGAGGGGCAGGCGGAAUGCCUGGUGUAGCGGUGAAAUGCGUAGAUAUUAGGAGGAACACCGGUGGCGAAGGCGGCCUGCUGGAGUGUGACUGACGUUGAGGCCCGAAGGCGUGGGGAGCGAACAGGAUUAGAUACCCCAGUAGUC
rnacentral:rRNA from 1 species